rnacentral:rRNA from 1 species
GUGCCAGCMMGCCGCGGUAAUACGUAGGGUGCGAGCGUUGUCCGGAAUUACUGGGCGUAAAGAGUUCGUAGGCGGUUUGUCGCGUCGUUUGUGAAAACCCGGGGCUCAACUUCGGGCUUGCAGGCGAUACGGGCAGACUUGAGUGUUUCAGGGGAGACUGGAAUUCCUGGUGUAGCGGUGAAAUGCGCAGAUAUCAGGAGGAACACCGGUGGCGAAGGCGGGUCUCUGGGAAACAACUGACGCUGAGGAACGAAAGCGUGGGUAGCAAACAGGAUUAGAUACCCUGGUAGUCCACGCCGUAAACGGUGGGCGCUAGGUGUGGGUUCCUUCCACGGGAUCUGUGCCGUAGCUAACGCAUUAAGCGCCCCGCCUGGGGAGUACGGCCGCAAGGCUAAAACUCAAAGGAAUUGACGGGGCCCGCACAAGCGGCGGAGCAUGUGGAUUAAUUCGAUGCAACGCGAAGAACCUUACCUGGGUUUAACAUACACCAGACAGCUGUAGAGAUACGGUUUCCCUUGUGGUUGGUGUACAGGUGGUGCAUGGCUGUCGUCAGCUCGUGUCGUGAGAUGUUGGGUUAAGUCCCGCAACGAGCGCAACCCUUGUCUUAUGUUGCCAGCACGUGAUGGUGGGGACUCGUAAGAGACUGCCGGGGUCAACUCGGAGGAAGGUGGGGACGACGUCAAGUCAUCAUGCCCCUUAUGUCCAGGGCUUCACACAUGCUACAAUGGCCAGUACAGAGGGCUGCGAGACCGUGAGGUGGAGCGAAUCCCUUAAAGCUGGUCUCAGUUCGGAUCGGGGUCUGCAACUCGACCCCGUGAAGUCGGAGUCGCUAGUAAUCGCAGAUCAGCAACGCUGCGGUGAAUACGUUCCCGGGCCUUGCACACACCGCCCGUC